rnacentral:lncRNA from 8 species
UUUUUAGCCAGUAGUUCUGAAAGUAGAAGUCACAAGCCAAAAUUGGUCCCCGAAAAUAUCUCUGUCUCUCGCUCUCUGGGCCUGCCUCUCUCUGUGUCUCUCUCUCUCUCUCUGUGUCUCUCUCUCUCUCUGUGUGUCCCUCUCAGUCUGUGUGUGUGUGUGUGUGUGUGUGUGUGUGUGUGUGUGUGUGUGUCUCGCUGUGUGUGUGUGUGUGUGUCUCUUUGUGUGUGUGUCUCUCUCUGUCUCUCUCUGUGUCUCACUCUCCCCCUUUCUGUUUCACUUUCCCUCUCCCUGUUUCUUUCUCUCUCUGUUUCUCUGUCUCUCAGCGUGUGCGUGCCUCUCUCAGCGUGUGCGUGCUUCUCUCUGCGUGUGCGUGCCUCUCUCUGCGUGUGCGUGCCUCUCUCUGCGUGUGCGUGCCUCUCUCUGCGUGUGCGUGCCUCUCUCUGCGUGUGCGUGCCUCUCUCUGCGUGUCUCUCUCUCUGUUUCUCUUUCUCUCUCGGUGUGCCUCUCUCUCUGCCUCUCUCUCUGUGUGUGCCUCUCUCUGUGUGUGUGCCUCUCUCUGUGUGUGUGCCUCUCUCUGUGUGUGUGCCUCUCUCUCUGCGUGUUUCUCUCUCUCUGCGUGUUUCUCUCUCUCUGCGCGUCUCUCCCUCUCUGCGUGGCUCUCUCUCUGCGUGGCUCUCUCUCUGUGUGUGUGCGUUUCUCUCUCUGCGUCUCUCUCUCUGCGUGGCUCUCUCUCUGUGUGUGUGCGUUUCUCUCUGCGUGGCUCUCUCUCCCUCUGCGCGGCUCUCUCUCCCUCUGCGCGUCUCUCUCUCCCUCUGCGCGUCUCUCUCUCCCUCUGCGCGUCUCUCUCUCCCUCUGCGUCUCUCUCUCCCUCUGCGUCUCUCUCUCCCUCUGCGUCUCUCUCCCUCUGCGUCUCUCUCCCUCUGCGUCUCCCUCUCUCUCUUUCCGUCUCCCUCUCUCUCUUUCCGUCUCCCUCUCUCUCCCUCUGCGUGUCUCUCUCUCUCUCUCUCUCUCUCUCUGUGCGUGUCUCUCUCUCUCUCUCUGUGCGUGUCUCUCUCUCUCUCUCUCUGUGCGUGUCUCUCUCUCUCUCUCUCGGUGUGCGUCACUCUCUCUCUCUCUCGGUGUGCGUCACUCUCUCUCUCUCUCUCUCUCGGUGUGAGUCACUCUCGCUCUCCCUCUCGGUGUGCGUCACUCACUCACUCACUUACUCUCUCUCGGUGUGCGUCACUCACUCACUCACUCUCUCUCGGUGUGCGUCACUCACUCACUCUCUCUCGGUGUGCGUCACUCACUCACUCUCUCUCGGUGUGCGUCACUCACUCACUCUCUCUCGGUGUGCGUCACUCACUCUCUCUCGGUGUGCGUCACUCACUCACUC